AAGUUACGCGAUUUAAAUAUGUAUAAUUAAAACGAAAUAAAAAAUCUAUUAAAAACUUGUUUUUUAUAGGCUAAAUAAUUAAAUUAGAAUAAAAUGCGUUUUCAAGAUUCACUUCCUUACAACAACUGAAAGCAUAACAACUGAUAAAUAAUAAUAAACGAAUGUCGGGUGCGCCAUUUUAAUUGAUGGAAGUUAAAAAGCUUUUUUAUUUUAACAAUCUUCGAUGUUUUAGAAAUUAUUGAUGACCACAUUGACACAGUUAAAAAAUAUGAGUUGCUGGUCUCUUGUCAUGAAAGUCCUGUUGCAAGAACUUUUUUCUUACAUUUGCUAAAGAAAAUUGGUUAAACAAAGGUUUUAAAAACCACUGCAUAUGUUAUGUCGUGACGCUACUAAUUUUCUAAUGUCAAAAAUAAAAAUGGAUGGUAAAAGAAAUUUCGAUAACUUGCAUUCAGAAAAUCCUCUAUAUGUAAAGUUGUUCUGUGUAAUUCUAGUUUCGAUUUAUGAAUUUAUAUUUAAAAUGGUAACUAUUUUACCCUACUUUUUUCGGUUACAAAUCAAUUUACGAAAUUAGACGAUCAGGAUACGAAUGUAGAAUAUGAUAUUGUACAAACAAAUGCAAGAUGAACAAGCGGUAGACGGUAUUCUAGGAAGGUUUUUAAUAAUGCAUAAACCAGAGAAAACAGUGAUCCAAAAUAUUUCUUUAUGAGUUUAUUAAUUUUAUUUUAAGUAAUCUUUGAUUUAGUCUUAAUGUAAACUUUUAUUUGACUUUUUUUUAUUAUCAAAGCAUAAACAAGUAUAGUGUGCA